rnacentral:rRNA from 1 species
GUGGGGAAUAUUGGACAAUGGGCGCAAGCCUGAUCCAGCCAUGCCGCGUGAGUGAUGAAGGCCCUAGGGUUGUAAAGCUCUUUCACCGGUGAAGAUAAUGACGGUAACCGGAGAAGAAGCCCCGGCUAACUUCGUGCCAGCAGCCGCGGUAAUACGAAGGGGGCUAGCGUUGUUCGGAAUUACUGGGCGUAAAGCGCACGUAGGCGGGUAUUUAAGUCAGGGGUGAAAUCCCGGAGCUCAACUCCGGAACUGCCUUUGAGACUGGGUACCUAGAGUAUGGAAGAGGUAAGUGGAAUUCCGGGUGUAGAGGUGAAAUUCGUAGAUAUUCGGAGGAACACCAGUGGCGAAGGCGGCUUACUGGUCCAUUACUGACGCUGAGGUGCGAAAGCGUGGGGAGCAAACAGGAUUAGAAACCCCAGUAGUCC